rnacentral:rRNA from 1 species
AACGAACGCUGGCGGCAGGCCUAACACAUGCAAGUCGAGCGAGCAUUUCGGUGCUAGCGGCGGACGGGUGAGUAACGCGUGGGAACGUGCCCUUUUCUGCGGAAUAGUCCUGGGAAACUGGGGGUAAUACCGCAUACGCCCUUUUGGGGAAAGAUUUAUCGGAGAAGGAUCGGCCCGCGUUGGAUUAGGUAGUUGGUGGGGUAAUGGCCCACCAAGCCGACGAUCCAUAGCUGGUUUGAGAGGAUGAUCAGCCACACUGGGACUGAGACACGGCCCAGACUCCUACGGGAAGCAGCAGUGGGGAAUCUUAGACAAUGGGGGCAACCCUGAUCUAGCCAUGCCGCGUGAGUAAUGAAGGCCUUAGGGUUGUAAAGCUCUUUCAGCUGGGAAGAUAAUGACGGUACCAGCAGAAGAAGCCCCGGCUAACUCCGUG